ensembl:miRNA
UCAGUGGAAAGCAUGCAUCCAGGGUGUGGAGCCAAAAUUAGAAGGGCCAAAAUUCUACCUGGCCCACUACCACAGCAACCUUGGGCAUCGUGUUCUUUUGA